rnacentral:lncRNA from 1 species
AAAAAGAAAAAGUUUAAACCUUUUUGAUACGGCUAGCGCGAACGGUCUCUCUGUCGGAGGUGGAAUUGGUAGAGGACGAGGAAGACCUGCGGUUGCGGCCAGCUUGUAUGAGAGUGCCGCCAUCAACGAUGGCGGAAGAAGAAGAAGAAGAAGAAGAAGUAGAGAAGCAGCGAACUAUAAAUAAUGGACGAGUAUUCCAGAUAAGAAAAGGGUUGUUGUUUGCUUUCAAAGAAGCAAAGUAGAGUAGUUGCUUGAGAUUCAAUGGCUGCAGCACCACCACCAUUUUUCCUAUGCUUUUCUCUUGUUCUCGUUCUUGUUUGCUGUUUAUGCAAUGCGG